rnacentral:rRNA from 1 species
GUGGGGAAUAUUGGACAAUGGGCGAAAGCCUGAUCCAGCCAUGCCGCGUGUGUGAAGAAGGUCUUCGGAUUGUAAAGCACUUUAAGUUGGGAGGAAGGGCUGCUGGUUAAUACCCUGCAGUUUUGACGUUACCAACAGAAUAAGCACCGGCUAACUUCGUGCCAGCAGCCGCGGUAAUACGAAGGGUGCAAGCGUUAAUCGGAAUUACUGGGCGUAAAGCGCGCGUAGGUGGUUCGUUAAGUUGGAUGUGAAAGCCCCGGGCUCAACCUGGGAACUGCAUCCAAAACUGGCGAGCUAGAGUACGGUAGAGGGUGGUGGAAUUUCCUGUGUAGCGGUGAAAUGCGUAGAUAUAGGAAGGAACACCAGUGGCGAAGGCGACCACCUGGACUGAUACUGACACUGAGGUGCGAAAGCGUGGGGAGCAA